AACAUACGAGAUGAAUGUGGUCCUUAGCUUGAGGGAGAGAAUGUGAGAUAACAAGUUAAGUCCCACAUCGGAUAUUAGACAAAGGAAAGUCUAAUAUAUAAAGAUAUGUCCAACUCUAAUAGUACGAGGCCUUUUGGGAAGGAAACCAAAAGUAAAUCCAUGCGGGCUAGCCUCCUAGGCCCAAAGUGGACAAUAUCGUACUAAUAAGAUAAGAUAGAGUUGGACACGGGAUUUCACAAUC
rnacentral:lncRNA from 1 species